rnacentral:tRNA from 1 species
GCCAGUAUGGUGGUUAUGACAUUCGACUUGUAAUCGAAUAGGCUUGGGUUCGAAUCCCGAAUAGGCA